ACUGACUUUUUGCAAAGGAACCAAGAAAAGUAGUCAAUUAGUUUUACAGACUGACAGGUAACUCAUUGAUGGCACAGUUUUGGUGACUGUCAUCUUGAUUCUUCAGGACAGACAUGGGGAAAUCAAAUUCCACUCGGAGAUGGAUGUGCUGUCACUGCGAGUCGCUGACGAGCUCGUGAGUCAGUUGACACAUCCUGAACUCCGCGGGGCUGCAACGCUCAGCAAACAUCUGCCAGGCUGCAAAGAAAAAUCCUGCAAAUACUGAGUAGUAUUAUAUGAAAACCUGGUACGCGGGAUAAAUUGCAGCAUAAAUCAGAGACAAG